ensembl:lincRNA
GUCAGUUCUUUAGAUCAAGGCACAGGGCAUUCUGGAGAAGUUCUGGUGAGGAAGCAGUGGAUAUGAGGAGCUGGGAGCAUGGAAAUCCAAGGUAAUUGACUUGAGAGCCAAAAGGAGCCAGCUCAGAAAUUUACAAAUGCUUAUCUCAACUCACAGGGGUGCCCUACAGCAAACCCGCAGCAGAGAUCAGAAGGGCGCACUUUCCUUUUUAAUCUGGGACCGUGUUUUGCUUCUAGUGGCUCUUGAUGGCCCAUCUGAAAGGGACUUCUUACCACCCGGACUCCACCCCGAGGGCAGGGCUCCAGCAGCCAUCCUGACGCCAGGGGCGACACUCAGACUGUGGAGGAACGAGUAUGUCUCAGCCGGCUUCACGGGAGCUAUUUCAUCAACCUCAAUUAAUUUAUGGACUGGAGCAGUGGUUUUCGGAAAGUUUUUUGAGUCAUAGGAUCUGUUCUUCAAAUGAAGUGUAAUAUGGAAGUCUUCAAUUAUAAACCAGAAAGUGGUGAUUGGCCAUACUUAAAAUGGGAGUCUGGGGUCUCCUCUGCUUCUCCCUCUCACUGUCCUCCCCUCCCCCAUGGCUAUGAGAAGCAUGGCUUUGAAACCCUUGAACCAGAGGGUCCACACCUUCCUUGCUCAAUUCCACCCACACCUGUGAAUCAGCUGCCUGCUUGCACUGAAGUCGAAGUCACCAUCUCCUCAUCUUUAUCCUGACUUCCCGUAAUACAUUUCCUCUUCCUUACUAGAAUUUACCCCACAGAGGUCCAUAGGUUCUGCAACAUGUCUGGAAUGGCACCUAGCUAUCUUCCCUGCCACUUACCUCUUCAAUUUCUUGUUUCCUAUGUAAAUUGAUGGGAUUUUAAGGAAGUCUGCAAUUAUCCUAGAGUGCUUCUGUGAUCUCAACUCUGGCAUAGCUAACCAGCCACCAUUUGCGAUGAUUCUACCUCCAAAAUCUCACUUGGAUUUAUGACCUAUUCUCUCUCCCCACUCCACUGCCUGGGUUGGGCUUUUGUCCUCUUGGGUAGGGAUCAUGGAUGGCAUUGAUGUCCUGACUUAGUGCCGCCCCUGAGCCAUUCCUGAUUCUGCAAUAAAGAGGAAGCCUUCACAGAAGUGAGACUUGGAUUUCCCACUGAAGAAUGGGUAGGAUAUUUAUAGGCCUCCCUUUGGCCAGUAAUCAUGAUCUUGCCAUAUCCCAAGAGUAUGAAGCUCAUUUGAGAAUAUUUCUCAUGCCAGGAUCCACUGAGGGAAAUACAAAUAUAGACCACUCAUUGAUGCGUUUUCUGAGUCUUCUCUUCUGUUAGAACGACUUUUUCCUUAUGCAUGGGUAUUGUCUUGUUGAACAGCUGUUCUAGUGAGCAGGGACUCCCAUGGGCAGCCUACCGCUAAUGCCCGUCAUUCACAGAAGACAAUCUUGCUGUGUUUCUCUUUGUGCUUCACGAUUAGCCCAUUGCAAGAGAAAACUAACACACAGAAGUGAUUGUUCUGUCUCCUGUAGGAAGGGUCCUUAUUAUGACAGAAAAGUUAUUUUCUUUUCUGUGGUUUCUUAAGGGUUCUCUAAUUGGGUAACCCUCUGCUGACCCCUGGCUAUGGUAGUUUCUAUGUCGACAUCUUUGUUCCGCUCCUUGCGCACUGAAGCCAGAGACGAGUAAUUCAAACCAAUGCAGAGCAUGAGAUAAUGGGGCUCUGUAACCCACCAGUAUUUAAAAGGCAAUGACCCCUUAAGUUCACUGGAGUUACCUUCCAUUAAGAACUUUUCUCACCUGCAUAUAACAGACGGGUAUGUGUUAGAGCCCUGUGUCUGGUCUGGGUGUGGACUGAAUUAAUCUGUCAGACUUUGGGGACUUGAACCGGAUUGCUUUGGGAUUCCUUCACACUCUACAUACACGUGGAAUGAUAAUUCAAAAUAAGCACAGAAGUUUUCUUUUUUUUUUUUGGUGGGGGUGGCAUCUAAGAUAUGGGAAAACAUAGAAGAUCAUGUAAUUAAAAACCUAUGUAUCCAUCAUCUAGAAAUAUUAGCUUUUCAAUUUUGUCUUAUUUGCUUGCAGUGUUUUUUUUCCUUAAAGAUUUUAAUUAAUUAAUUAAUUAAUUAAUUCCAAGAGAGUGUGUGUAUGUGAGCAGGGGGGAGGGGCAGAGGGAGA